UUUUUUCCCUCUUCUUUCCUUGCUUCUUUCAUCUUAUGGAAAUUAAUGGAAAGCUGGUUUUUACUAAGUUCGCUCAUCUAGCUCUGGCCGGCCCUCGAGAUGACUUUGCGAAAGUUGUUUGAUUUAGGACAGAUGUUGAGGUCGUGGUAGAUUUUAUGUCGGAAAAUGGGGAAUGGUUUUUGAUUCAUUUUAUGUGCUCGUUGUAUUCUUGCUUGUUGCGCCUGUGUUAAAACCCAUCAUGGUCUCAUGUGUGUUCAAAACUCUAUCAGCUCAUGAUCGUUGCCUUUGUGGGGGGAAAACAAAAGAAUUGCUGGGAAUCUUUUGGUGGUCAAACAAGGCAUCACUGGACAAUGACAUCAAACGAGCAAACACUAGUCACCCAACAACCAUGGUGGGAACGGCAGAAUCUCGAAAUCGGUCUACAGGAUGUCGAGCACCAGUGCCCAUGCCGGGUAGACAAACAAGAUGAGCAACCCGACGGUGUUGGAGAUGCCGUGGGCUUUCGUGAAUGAGUUGCGGAACCCGCCGGAGGCUCGGAUGUGCUCCUGCAGCAAGUAACACGCGAUGGCGAGGCAGAUCAAUACCCCGAUCCAGCUCCCCUUUAUGGUGCUCGCGAACAGGCUCGGAGCCACCACUAUCAGGAGAAUCAGAGCGCCGGGCAUCUCCAGCCAAUCUGUCAAAACGGAAUGUGAGCAUAGAAUCAAUGGCUCGAAGUCUUUGCAUACCUGGGAAGUGCCGAGGGAAGAAAAGGCGCAAGACGACGGCGACGAAAGCGACCCACUUGCCAAUCUCUCCCCUGCAUCACGGGGGUUCAAAGUUUCUCAAGCAAAUACGAUUGCAGGCCGGUAUAGUAGAAAGAUAGGACAGCAGAUGUACUACUUUCAUGUAGACGAGAGGUCGAUGAGAUCACCUGAGGAUUGUGAACAACAAUGAAGGGAGGCUCAAGAAGAUGUAGGGGAUCAACAGGGAUGUGAGCAUGUUCGUCCUCCAGUGCGUCCGAUCCAAGACCAACAAGUAGCUGCAUUACGCACCAGAUUAAAGCAGAAUUACUACUCUCUACUCGUGUUGCCCAAACAUGUUCAAUCAGAUUAUUGGGGGAGAGGAAAAAUGGUAUUGCAUGGGCCAGCCCAUCUUGCGGGGCGCGAUUGAGAUUGCCCCGGCCCAUUAAGUUAAUUUGAAUAAGCGGUAUUGAUAUUUCUCUUCUUUUUUUGGACUGAAUAAUGAUAUUGAUAGUUGACCUGGAGAUUUCAUCCA